CACCGAAGUCAAGCAUCAUCGGGCGCGGUCAGUACUUGGGAGGGUGACCACCUGGGAACACCGCGUGCCGUUG
rnacentral:rRNA from 1 species